rnacentral:rRNA from 1 species
CGCCAUGGCGGCCGCGGGAAUUCGAUUAGAGUUUGAUCAUGGCUCAGAUUGAACGCUGGCGGCAGGCUUAACACAUGCAAGUCGAGCGGGGAAAGGUAGCUUGCUACUUUACCUAGCGGCGGACGGGUGAGUAAUGCUUAGGAAUCUGCCUAUUAGUGGGGGACAACAUCUCGAAAGGGAUGCUAAUACCGCAUACGUCCUACGGGAGAAAGCAGGGGACCUUCGGGCCUUGCGCUAAUAGAUGAGCCUAAGUCGGAUUAGCUAGUUGGUGGGGUAAAGGCCUACCAAGGCGACGAUCUGUAGCGGGUCUGAGAGGAUGAUCCGCCACACUGGGACUGAGACACGGCCCAGACUCCUACGGGAGGCAGCAAUGGGGAAUAUUGGACAAUGGGGGGAACCCUGAUCCAGCCAUGCCGCGUGUGUGAAGAAGGCCUUUUGGUUGUAAAGCACUUUAAGCGAGGAGGAGGCUACCGAGAUUAAUACUCUUGGAUAGUGGACGUUACUCGCAGAAUAAGCACCGGCUAACUCUGUGCCAGCAGCCGCGGUAAAUCACUAGUGAAUUCGCGGCCGCCUGCAGGUCGACCAUAUGGGAGAGCUCCC